UCAAAACCGAUGAAGGAAAAAAGACCCUUGAAUGCCUCCAGAGAGCCGGUGGUUGGUGCAAACCGGUGGCGGGCAAGACGUCUUCAGCGUUCCAGAGAAGCUGCAUUGAACUUUACAGUAGGUGCAGCCGGGUAAUUUCCGUUAUCAAAUAGGCCUCUAUCGGGCCUCUGAGGCUGCCGGCGUCAAAUCCGGCGGUGAAUUAGGGUGGUACCACGAACAACUCUCGUCCCUUGC
rnacentral:ncRNA from 1 species